rnacentral:rRNA from 1 species
UGGGGAAUUUUGGACAAUGGGCGCAAGCCUGAUCCAGCCAUGCCGCGUGCAGGAUGAAGGCCCUCGGGUUGUAAACUGCUUUUGUACGGAACGAAAAGCCUCUUUCUAAUAAAGAGGGGUGAUGACGGUACCGUAAGAAUAAGCACCGGCUAACUACGUGCCAGCAGCCGCGGUAAUACGUAGGGUGCGAGCGUUAAUCGGAAUUAAUGGGCGUAAAGCGUGCGCAGGCGGUCUUGCAAGACAGUGGUGAAAUCCCCGGGCUCAACCUGGGAACUGCCAUUGUGACUGCAAGGCUGGAGUACGGCAGAGGGGGAUGGAAUUCCGCGUGUAGCAGUGAAAUGCGUAGAUAUGCGGAGGAACACCGAUGGCGAAGGCAGUCCCCUGGGCCUGUACUGACGCUCAUGCACGAAAGCGUGGGGAGCAAACA